GGAAGCAGGCUGGUAAACAGAGAACUCACAGCCCAGGAGAAGACCGGCUGCAGAGAAAGGGUCAGAGCUGAGGGAGCAGAGAAGAGAGGGGGCUGAGCGGAGGCAGCUCCAUCCCUUGCCUCUUCCUCCCCUCACCCUGCUGGAGGGAUGGGGAGAGGGGAGAGUGGAGAGCAUGCAAGCCUCAGGGGUUGGGCACAGGGUGCUGGGAACCUGGGAAGCUCAGUGUCAGCAUCUGGCUUUCUGAGACUACCGGAGGCUCUGGGAACAGAAAGAAUGGUGGGAAAAAAGGGCAGUCAACAGAGCUCUCCUGCUCCUGCACCUUACCUGGCGUCUUCGGUCUGCAAAGCUGCUGUCCUUCAGCUCAACAAGGCAACAAAAGAAAAACCACCACAACCAGAAUGUGAUUCCUGCCAGCAUGAAAGGUAGGGUGAUCAUCCCAGCCUGGAGUCAUCAAGGAGGCUUAAAGAAGAAGGCAGAAUGUAUUCCCAGGAAGUCUGAUGGAGAGACAAGGCAGUUGCCCUGAGAAGGGGUGUUAGCGUGGGAGGACACAGAUGGAGACGCUGAGGGGCUGAGGAGAAGGAGCUGGUGUUUGUCAGGAAGUCACUUCCAGCCCAGGAAGUGCCCAGCCCAGGGAUGAGGCCCACCCUGUGGGACUGUGAGAGACAAGCCUGGCCCCACCUGUUUAUACUAAUGGCUUCCACCACGCAACUCGGAACCAAGUGAUGACAAGUGAAUUUGUGUCUGAGCCUCGAGAAAAGAUAUUUAAAAUUUGAAGGCAGGAACCAAAUAGGAUUCUGUGUCUAGCUCUGUGUCCCACUGCCCCUUCUUCUCUUGAACAGCUGAACUAUGAACCAUGGGAAGCUCGAGGAAUCGCACUCCUGCCUGACACAGUUGCCCAAGAAGUCAAGCUGCAAGUGUCUAGUUGCCAGUCCUCAUCACAGGAUUUCCUCCCUGGCACCUGUGCCAGAGUGAGGCCAGGGAGCAGUGAGGCCACACAGCCACCUUGGCACCAAGCCCUGGCCACUGUCUGGGCAUGGAGUGGGCACUGAUCCAGGAGUGGGUUCCAGCUGCCUGACCCAGAAUGGGUCAGAAUGUGCAGCAACUCCCCUGCUGCUUCUGCCCCUUGGAGGCAGGACAGACUGGGACAAAGAUGGGAUAGCUGGAACACAUGGGGAGGGGGCAGGGAUAAGCUGUCUCCUUUGUGUAGAACUAGCCUUUGCAGAUAGGGAGACUGGCACAUGUGCCCAGUCAGCAGGCAGAGUGGACUCUUAACCAAAUCCUUGCUCUGCUGAGCAAUUCACCAGUCCAUCACCAGCCUCUCUCUGUUAUUUCCCAGCUGUGGGGUCUCUAACAUGUGUCCCUUUUCCCACCCUAAAAGGAAAGCUCUGCCUGGCACCCAGAAGACUUGCCCAGCAGGUCCUUGGUCACCAGCUUUGCAGCAAUGUCUUUCUGGCUCUGACUCCAGAUAAAUCAGACUUCCUUGUACUCUGAUUCAGAGAUGUUUGUUAUUCAGGGUUCUGAUGCAGAGGUCCGAUAGGGAGGCUUCUGGGCCUUCUACCCAGUAAACCAGUAAGGUGUGAGAGUUUAAAGAAUUUAGAAUCACAAAGACAGCCACACUCUGAGAGGUGGCAUGGUACCAGCUCUGGUCACCUGA